GAUGAACGCUGGCGGCGUGCUUAACACAUGCAAGUCGAACGAAGCACUUUAAUUGAUUUCUUCGGAAUGAAGUUUUUGUGACUGAGUGGCGGACGGGUGAGUAACGCGUGGGCAACCUGCCUCAUACAGGGGGAUAACAGUUGGAAACGACUGCUAAUACCGCAUAAGCGCACAGGAUUGCAUGAUCCAGUGUGAAAAACUCCGGUGGUAUGAGAUGGACCCGCGUCUGAUUAGCUGGUUGGUGAGGUAACGGCCCACCAAGGCGACGAUCAGUAGCCGACCUGAGGGGGUGACCGGCCACAUUGGGACUGAGACACGGCCCAGACUCCUACGGGAGCAGCAGUGGGGAAUAUUGCACAAUGGAGGAAACUCUGAUGCAGCGACGCCGCGUGAGUGAAGAAGUAGUUCGCUAUGUAAAGCUCUAAUCAGCAGGGAAGAUAGUGACGGUACCUGACUAAGAAGCU
rnacentral:rRNA from 1 species